GACGAACCGUGCGAACGUUGUUCGGAAUCACUGGGCUUAAAGGGCGCGUAGGCGGGCGAUCAAGUCAGAGGUGAAAUCCCACGGCUCAACCGUGGAAGUGCCCCUGAUACUGGUCGUCUCGAGGGAGAUAGGGGCGUGCGGAACUUCCGGUGGAGCGGUGAAAUGCGUAGAUAUCGGAAGGAACACCGGUGGCGAAAGCGGCGCGCUGGAUCUCUACUGACGCUGAGGCGCGAAAGCCAGGGGAGCAAACGG
rnacentral:rRNA from 1 species